GAUGAACGCUGGCGGCGUGCUUAACACAUGCAAGUCGAACGAGAAAUUCAUUUUGGAAGCAAGUAGUUUACUAUGAGCGGACAUGUUGGAUUUCGAGUGGCGGACGGGUGAGUAACGCGUGGAGAACCUGCCUUAUACCGGGGGAUAACAGUUAGAAAUGGCUGCUAAUACCGCAUAAGCGCACAGUAUCGCAUGAUACAGUGUGAAAAACUCCGGUGGUAUAAGAUGGAUCCGCGUUGGAUUAGCCAGUUGGCAGGGUAACGGCCUACCAAAGCAACGAUCCAUAGCCGGCCUGAGAGGGCGACCGGCCACAUUGGGACUGAGACACGGCCCAGACUCCUACGGGAGGCAGCAGUGGGGAAUAUUGCACAAUGGGGGAAACCCUGAUGCAGCGACGCCGCGUGAACGAAGAAGUAUUUCGGUAUGUAAAGUUCUAUCAGCAGGGAAGAAAAUGACGGUACCUGACUAAGAAGCCCCGGCUAAUUACGUGCCAGCCGCCGCCGUAAAAC
rnacentral:rRNA from 1 species